GAUGAACGCUGGCGGCGUGCCUAAUACAUGCAAGUCGAGCGAACAGACGAGGAGCUUGCUCCUCUGACGUUAGCGGCGGAAGGGUGAGUAACACGUGGAUAACCUACCUAUAAGACUGGGAUAACUUCGGGAAACCGGAGCUAAUACCGGAUAAUAUAUUGAACCGCAUGGUUCAAUAGUGAAAGACGGUUUUGCUGUCACUUAUAGAUGGAUCCGCGCCGCAUUAGCUAGUUGGUAAGGUAACGGCUUACCAAGGCAACGAUGCGUAGCCGACCUGAGAGGGUGAUCGGCCACACUGGAACUGAGACACGGUCCAGACUCCUACGGGAGGCAGCAGUAGGGAAUCUUCCGCAAUGGGCGAAAGCCUGACGGAGCAACGCCGCGUGAGUGAUGAAGGUCUUCGGAUCGUAAAACUCUGUUAUUAGGGAAGAACAAAUGUGUAAGUACCUAUGCACGUCUUGACGGUACCUAAUCAGAAAGCCACGGCUAACUACGUG
rnacentral:rRNA from 1 species